rnacentral:rRNA from 1 species
AUUGAACGCUGGCGGCAGGCCUAACACACGCAAGUCGAGCGAGCGGCGGACGGGUGAGUAAUGUCUGGGGACUGCCCGAUAGAGGGGGAUAACUCCUGGAAACGGUGGCUAAUACCGCAUAGUUUCGGAUAACCCAUAUGGGAUUAGCUAGUAGGUGGGGUAAAGGCUCACCCGGGCGACGAUCUCUAGCUGGUCUGCGGGGAUGGUCAGCCACCCUGGGACUGAGACACGGGCCAGACUCCUGCGGAGGCAGCGGUGGGGAGUAUUGCGCAAUGGGCGCAAGCCUGGUGCAGCCAUGCCGCGUGUAUGAGGAAGGCCGUAGGAUUGUAAAGUACUUUGAGCGGGGAGGCGGUACCCGCAGAAGGAGCACCGGCUAGCUCCGUGACAGCAGCCGCGGUAAUUC